UACGUAGGGUGCAAGCGUUAAUCGGAAUUACUGGGCGUAAAGCGUGCGCAGGCGGUUAUGUAAGACAGAUGUGAAAUCCCCGGGCUCAACCUGGGAACUGCAUUUGUGACUGCAUAGCUUGAGUGCGGCAGAGGGGGAUGGAAUUCCGCGUGUAGCAGUGAAAUGCGUAGAUAUGCGGAGGAACACCGAUGGCGAAGGCAAUCCCCUGGGCCUGCACUGACGCUGAGGUGCGAAAGCGUGGGGAGCAAACAGG
rnacentral:rRNA from 1 species